GACGAACGCUGGCGGCGUGCCUAAUACAUGCAAGUCGAACGCAGUGGGGACGGGUGAGUAAAACGUGGGUAACCUCCCAUCAGAGGGGAUAACACUUGGAAACAGGUGCUAAACCGAUAUUGAUGGCGGGACGCGCGGUGCAUUAGCUAGUUGGUGAGGUAACGGCUCACCAAGGCAACGAUGCAUAGUCGACCUGAGAGUGUCAUCGCCCACAUUGGAACUGAGAAACGGUCCAGACUCCUACGGGAGGCAGCAGUAGGGAAUCUUCGUCAAUGGACGCAAGUCUGACCGAGCAACGCCGCGUGAGUGAAGAAGGUUUUCGGAUCGUAAAACUCUUUUGUUGGAGAAGCGGUAGCUAACCAGAAAGCCACGGCUAACUACGUGCCAGCAGCCGCGGUAAUAC
rnacentral:rRNA from 1 species